rnacentral:rRNA from 1 species
CCUACGGGUGGCAGCAGUGAGGAAUAUUGGUCAAUGGACGAGAGUCUGAACCAGCCAAGUAGCGUGAAGGAUGACUGCCCUAUGGGUUGUAAACUUCUUUUAUAUGGGAAUAAAACGUUCCACGUGUGGGAUUUUGUAUGUACCAUAUGAAUAAGGAUCGGCUAACUCCGUGCCAGCAGCCGCGGUAAUACGGAGGAUCCGAGCGUUAUCCGGAUUUAUUGGGUUUAAAGGGAGCGUAGGUGGAUUGUUAAGUUAGUUGUGAAAGUUUGCGGCUCAACCGUAAAAUUGCAGUUGAAACUGGCAGUCUUGAGUACAGUAGAGGUGGGCGGAAUUCGUGGUGUAGCGGUGAAAUGCUUAGAUAUCACGAAGAACUCCGAUUGCGAAGGCAGUUCACUGGACUGCAACUGACACUGAGGCUCGAAAGUGUGGGUAUCAAACAGGAUUAGAUACCCUUGUAGUC